rnacentral:rRNA from 1 species
UUUCGCAAUGCCCGAAAGGGUGACGAAGCGACGCCGCGUGUGGGAAGGAGGCCUUCGGGUUGUAAACCGCUGUUGGGAGUUAGGAAGUGUGGGAGUGUUAAUAGCGCUUCCACUUGACUAAAGCUCCAGAGGAAGCCACGGCUAACUCUGUGCCAGCAGCCGCGGUAAUACAGAGGCGGCAAGCGUUGUUCGGAAUUAUUGGGCGUAAAGAGCACGUAGGCGGCUCUGCAAGUCAGCUGUGAAAGCCUUCUGCUUAACGGAAGAACAGCAGUUGAAACUACAGGGCUUGAGUGCGGGAGGGGAGAGUGGAACUUCUGGUGGGGCGGUGAAAUGCGUAGAUAUCAGAGGGAACGCCGGCGGCGAAAGCGGCUCUCUGGUCCGUAACUGACGCUGAGUGUGCGAAAGCUAGGGGAGCAAACGGGAUUAGAUACCCCGGUAGUCCUAGCCGUAAACGAUGGGCACUAAGUAGAGGGGUUUU